UACGAAGGGGGCUAGCGUUGUUCGGAAUCACUGGGCGUAAAGCGCACGUAGGCGGAUCUUUAAGUCAGGGGUGAAAUCCCGAGGCUCAACCUCGGAACUGCCUUUGAUACUGGGGAUCUCGAGUCCGGGAGAGGUGAGUGGAACUGCGAGUGUAGAGGUGAAAUUCGUAGAUAUUCGCAAGAACACCCGUGGCGAAGGCGACUCACUGGACACGUAUUGACGCUGAGGUGCGAAAGCGUGGGGAGCAAACAGG
rnacentral:rRNA from 1 species